UACGUAGGGACCAAGCGUUGUUCGGAUUUACUGGGCGUAAAGGGCGCGUAGGCGGCAAUUCAAGUCAGCUGUGAAAUCUCCGAGCUUAACUCGGAACGGUCAGCUGAUACUGUUUUGCUAGAGUGCAGAAAGGGCAACCGGAAUUCUUGGUGUAGCGGUGAAAUGCGUAGAUAUCGUAAGGAACGCCAGUGGCGAAAGCGAAUCUCUGGGCAGCAACUGACGCUGAGGCACGAAGGCCAGGGGAGCAAACGGG
rnacentral:rRNA from 1 species